GAGUUUUUGUGGACGAUGAGCCCUCCACGUGUGCGCGUGAGGAACUCGGAGUCGGGACUUUCCCGUCCCCGAACCCCGACCCCCAACAUCCAACGAGCCCAGGAGACCGCGAUGGCGAGCCGUAGCGGUGGCGUCGGUCGCGGCCGGGGUGGCCGAGGCAACCCACCCGGUCUCGGCGGUGGGAUCGCCCCCAGGGAGUGCGAGUGCUGCCGGGCGGCGGCCGGCAUCCCCUUCUGCCGCGUGGAGUGGUCUUUCCUCUGCGCCGGCUGUGCAGCCGGCGUCCAUGGUCAGAGCUGGAUCGUCGCCGUACCUCCUGGCCCGAACCCUGGCUCCAAUCUCAAUCCUGUUGCUCCCAGCGCUUACUCUUUGCCUUAUGCUUGUCAGUACCCCUGCCCUAAUUCUAACCCUAACCCUGGGCCUCCUCCGCCUCCCCUGCCUACCGCUGUCCCUCCUCCUAAUCCGUAUCCUAACGCUAAUCCUAGCCCCGGAACCAAUCUCAACCACGUGGUGCAGCUGUCGUCGGACGAAGACGUUGCGUCCGCCGGUGAGGACGGCGACGGUGGCAGCAGCCGGAAACGUCGGCGGGCGUCGGCGGAAGGAGAGAGUUCAGCGGAAGCCAGCAUGAUGAGGGACAAGGAGAUGCGGAAGAACCGAAAGUCCCGGAAGGUUCAUGCGGACAUGAAGCCAAGGGUCGAUGGGAAAUCUGUCGAUACAGCGGAUUCUUCUGGGGCAGAAGGGGAGGCUGGUGCCAGGGGAGAAGGAGAGCCUGAUAGCGGUGGGGAUGAGGCGCGAGUGGACUCAAGUGAGGAUGCGAGGACCGAUGCUGUUGAGGAGUUGACCGAUCUCGGUGAGCAGCUAAGACCAGUGGAGGCAGGUGAGAUGGUAGCCACAAGUCCGAGCUUUGAGGUGGAGCAGUUCGAUGAAGGAGUGGAUUUGGGGCAGAUUAAUGCUGGUGAGGAAGUGGGACUAUUGUGAAUUUCAUCAUGAGCUUGGGCUUGUUCCUUAGAUUUGGGUUGCUUGUUGGAGAAAAGAUUUUUUCCCAGAUAGGUCUCUUGCUCUUGUUGCUGAUCUUAUGUGAUGUGGAAAUCAUUAGCCCAAGUUUUGUCAACUCGGUGAUCUUUUAUUUUUCCUACAUGGCCAUCAUCUUGGCAGGUGUUGACAGUAUGGCUACGCUGAUGAAGGACAAAUAGGGCUGCUUUCCUGCCAUUCUUACCGAAUACAUGGAACUGGCAACAAGGAGGAGAGCUCUCCUUGAAGGUCUUGCUGCUUGAUGCAAUCUCCCUAAUCUUCUAUACUAAUGCUGUAGACUAUGGAGUACCCCUUUUCCUUUUUAUAUCAUUGAAAAUCUCAUGGAGGAUGACUGCUGUAGGUGAGAAUUGUGGAGAAUUGAAUUGUAAAGCGAAGCCAUAGUCAUUUUGACUUCCAAGCUGUGUUGAAAGAUUUGGAUCCAUAUGACUGCCAACCAAGACCUUAAGGAUGAUGACAGUCUGUACAUACAACAAACUAUAUAGGUGGAUGACAGAAUCCAUCAUGGCAUGUCCCUCCUCAUGUGAUUAGAGUGCUGGUGGCACAACAUAACUCCCCUGAAGAGGGUAAGCUCAGUUCUUCCUUCACAUGACUGGAUUACCCCACAGGGCUGCAACUGGAACCAAAAUGGUUCAGGCAAAUCCAUGAUGUUACACC